GCACCCUUGGUGUAGAGGUAACACGCUGCGUUCCUAUGCAGAGUUCCUAACGCUUAAUAAAUAAAACAGAGACCGGGGUUUGAAGCCCCGAGGGUGCA